GGUUCCAUAGUGUAGCGGUUAUCACGUCUGCUUUACACGCAGAAGGUCUCCGGUUCAAUCCCGGAUGGAACCA
rnacentral:tRNA from 1 species